rnacentral:lncRNA from 1 species
AAUAGAUAACAAUAAUCAAAAGAAUAACUGCCCUAACAUAGAAAAACAAAAGACUUAUUCAUUAAUAACAAUUAAUUGUGAGUUAGAAUUGUCAAAAGAAAAUAAAAUUCAAACAACAGCCAUGAUAGAUACAAGAAGCACAAAAAAUGUAAUAAAAGAAGAGUUAUUGCCAAAACAAUUUAGACAAAAACUAGCUAGACCAAUAAGAAUUAUACAGUUUGAC